rnacentral:rRNA from 1 species
AUUGAACGCUGGCGGCAUGCUUUACACAUGCAAGUCGGACGAGUGGCGAACGGGUGAGUAAUAUAUUGGAACGUCCCGAGUAAUGGGGGAAAACCAAUCGAAAGAUUGGCAAAUCCCGCAAAUGAUUCGAGCGGGCUCUAGCUGAUUAGCUAGUUGGUGGGGUAAAGGCCUACCAAGGCGACGAGCAGUAGCGGGUCUGAGAGGAUGAUACGUCACACGGGGACUGAGACACGGCCCAGACGCCUACGGGAUGCAGCAGGGGGGAAUGUUGGACAAUGGACGCAAGCCGGAACCAGGCAGGCCGCGGGUCGGAAGAAGGCCGUCGGGUUGUAAAUGACUUUUGUUAUGGAAGCGGUACCUAAAGAAGAAGCACCGGCUAACUACGUGCCAGCAGCCGCGGUAAUAC